rnacentral:ncRNA from 2 species
CGCUUAUCAAGAGUGGCGGAGGGACCGGCCCUGUGAAGCCCGACAACCUACCGGCGGCGACGCCGGCAAGGUGCCAAAUCCGGGCAGGACCUCCUGCGAGAUAAGGG